UGAUGAAAGCAAUUUUUGACAAACUGGGAUGUUGUAGCGCGGAUAUUCCUACGUCAGGUGUUGAUUCAGAUUGAGGUUUAGGGUGGGGUUACCUCUUUUUGUCGUUUUGGCGUUUUCUUGACAAAAAGGGGGAAAUGAUGAUGAUGCUAGUUAGUUUUAUGAUGAUGCUAGUUGAUGUUUAGUUUUAUGAUGAUGCUAUGAUGAUGCUAGUUGAUGUUUAGUUUUAUGAUGAUGCUUUGCAUUUUGAUUUGAACUCUGAUACUCAUGCUUCAACUCUGAUACUCUUGACUUGUUAAUUGAAUUCAUUGCAAAUCUUGAUGAGGUGUGUGGAAAAUGUUUUGCAGGGUAUUUCAAGACUUCGAGACUCCAUGUCAUGUCUUAAGUCAUAGAGUUUGUAUUAGGAUGUGAAAGAUGUAUUUUUGUUUUUAUUAGAUCGAUCAUACAGAAGAUUGUCGUUUGGUGAUUGCGAUAAUCUUCUUAUUUUAUUUUUGGAUGAGUAUUGUAAUGAUUUUUGUAUUUUGUCACGAAAUCGCCAAAGGGGGAGAUUGUUAAGGAUUUUUUCUAGGUUGGCGACUUUCGUGAAGUUGGAUGGAGUCUCGAAGAGUUAGAAGACGAAGUUUGAAGAAAGAAUUAGAAUUUGGAGGUCAAAGACUUUGGUCACAUUUUUGGGAUCUCAGGUAUGAUUAUAAAUAGUUUGUGGUGAGAUUUUAUUGUUAAAAUAUGUUUAGAAGACUUAGAUUGUGUUUUUGUUGAUCAAACUGGACUUUUCUAA
rnacentral:lncRNA from 1 species